GGUCUUGAGUGAACCACUAGGGGCUUUCUGUGCUAGCUAAGCAAAUCUCUAUGCCUACACCUUGCGGGUGAUUCAUCCAAAGGGUCCUCGAAUCUCCAGAGACUGCAUGCAAGUAUCUGCCUGCACCUCUGAGAAGACCGUAGGGAAAGUGACUCGAGAUUGUGGUCAGGUUCAAGAUAGUUCUAAAGACAAAAAGAAUCGAUAUUAAACUGCAGAAGAAUUGAAAUAAAUUUUGAGGAAAAUUUCGCAACAAUGAGAGUUAAACAUUGGAAGGCUAUUCUGCCUGCCUUCGGGACUGAGUUCAUCAGCCCUGACUUCUGGCCCCUUGGCAGUUGGUGCAUGUUGAAGAAGGAGGAGACUUCACAAGGAAGUUCUCACUUGAACACUCACUAGUGCUGUACGCAGGGUUUGGCUCUCUUGGACUCCUCAGAGCCUCGCUUUUGGGGACUUCUUGUCUACCGCACCUCAGCAUGUGCAUUACUCUUCAUGUGGGGUUCUGCAACUCCCUAGGAAUUCCAAGUCCACCUCCAGUUUCUCCUGGCCAGGAUCCCUUUUCUCUCCUGGAGAUCCAAGCCAAUACCAACCCCAGAGCUCUCUCCCAUAGGAAACUUUCAUUUAACUUUCGUCCUGAGCAGUGGAGCCCCAGGGCUGCCCUUGGAGCAGCUGGCCCAUCGCACGCUCUGGAUCCCCAUGGCAAUUUGAACUCCUCUCUGCGGUCCCACAUGGUUAACUCUCUCCCAACAUCUGCUGAAGCUGGCGCCCCUGUUUGCAGCGUCCGUGACACGUGGGUGCCACAGUGCACAGUGCCCUCGGGUGUUGGUGGGCGUGCAGCAUUUCUACAGCUCUCCCGCACACCUGCUCCUUCGUGG
ensembl:lncRNA